UACGUAGGGGGCGAGCGUUGUCCGGAAUUACUGGGCGUAAAGGGUGCGUAGGCGGCCUUUUAAGUUGGAUGUGAAAUCCCCGAGCUUAACUUGGGUGGUGCAUCCAAAACUGGGAGGCUAGAGUGCAGGAGAGGGAAGCGGAAUUCCUAGUGUAGCGGUGAAAUGCGUAGAUAUUAGGAGGAACACCAGUGGCGAAGGCGGCUUUCUGGACUGUAACUGACGCUGAGGCACGAAAGCGUGGGGAGCAAACAGGAUUAGAUACCCUGGUAGUCCACGCUGUAAACGAUGAAUACUAGGUGUAGGGGGUAUCAACUCCCCCUGUGCCGGAGCAAACGCAAUAAGUAUUCCGCCUGGGGAGUACGGCCGCAAGGUUGAA
rnacentral:rRNA from 1 species